AGUGAACGCUGGCGGUAGGCCUAACACAUGCAAGUCGAACGGCAGCACAGUAAGAGCUUGCUCUUACGGGUGGCGAGUGGCGGACGGGUGAGGAAUACAUCGGAAUCUACUUUUUCGUGGGGGAUAACGUAGGGAAACUUACGCUAAUACCGCAUACGACCUACGGGUGAAAGCAGGGGAUCUUCGGACCUUGCGCGAUUGAUUGAGCCGAUGUCGGAUUAGCUAGUUGGCGGGGUAAAGGCCCACCAAGGCGACGAUCCGUAGCUGGUCUGAGAGGAUGAUCGGCCACACUGGAACUGAGACACGGUCCAGACCCCUACGGGAGGCAGCAGUGGGAAAUAUUGGACAAUGGGCGAAAGCCUGAUCCAGCCAUACCGCGUGGGUGAAGAAGGCCUUCGGGUUGUAAAGCCCUUUUGUUGGGAAAGAAAAGCAGCAGGUUAAUACCCCGCUGUCUGACGGUACCCAAAGAAUAAGCACCGGCUAACUUCGUG
rnacentral:rRNA from 1 species